UACGGAGGGCGCAAGCGUUGUUCGGAAUUAUUGGGCGUAAAGCGCGUGUAGGCGGCCUGGUAAGUCGGGUGUGAAAGCCCGGGGCUCAACCCCGGAAUUGCACUCGAUACUGCCUCGCUAGAGUCCGGGAGAGGAUGGCGGAAUUCCCGGUGUAGAGGUGAAAUUCGUAGAUAUCCGGAAGAACACCAGUGGCGAAGGCGGCCAUCUGGCCCCUUACUGACGCUGAGGUGCGAAAGCGUGGGGAGCAAACAGG
rnacentral:rRNA from 1 species